UUGUUGGAAGAAGCAUUUUAUUGUUUUCUUGGUCUGAACGAAAAAUAGAAAAAAUGGCUUUUCUUAGUGUUGAAAGAAGAUGUUAGGUGAUUGGUUAGGUUUAGAAUGCAGGUGUUGAAUCACGUGAAUGAGUAAAAAAAAUUGUGCUUUCAUUGUGAGAAAGGAUGCGUCAUUUAAGUGUGUUUCAUUUAAUUAGGUACAGCUGCAGUGUUGUCAUAGCAUUGGGAGCAGCGAAUUCAGCACGCUAUUUUCAGCAAUUUUAUUUUUGGACUUUGGAUCCUUAUUUUUUUUUAUCCCAGCAGCACUUUAUGGGAUUUAUAACUUUCAAUUAGGAAGCACACACCGCCCAUUUUGGAUUUAUUUUGUUUUGCAUCUUUGCAUUUAAAUUAAUUUAGCUUCAGCUUGCAUGAAACUAAUUUUAAUAUCAUUAAAUUUAGAAUUAUAUUUAGCAAUCUAGUUCGUGUUAUUUUACUUAAGUUAAUUUUCUGUGAUGAAUUGCCUUUUCAUUUCUUCAGCUUAUUUGUUGCAUUUUCAUUUUAUUUCACUGUUCACACAUCUUGGUAUUACAUGAUUUAUUCCAGUGUUUCCGUUUCGUUUACUGUUAUGUUGUUUGUUCUGUUCGAUUGUGUUAAUUUACUUAUGAUGUUAGCUUAGGUUAUUGGGUUGGUCGUUAAUAAAAUUACUUUGUUUCCAUGAGAUUCUUGCACUUUAAUUGUCAUACUGCUGCUUUGAUUCUGCUAAAUAUUUAAUCGAUUGUCUGCCUACGAUUAGGUAUACGCUUAGUUGCCUAAUCGGUGUCAAUUCUUCGCUUAGUUGAUUAGACUGUGUGGUGGAUGAUUGAUUAAUUUUGUUCAUUGCAUUCUCUUAGUCUGUAAUUUUGAAGACCGAAUUAGCCUUCGCUUAGUUGGUUGAUUUGUGUCGGAUUUGGAUUAGAGUAGUGUGCAUCUGUGAUUGGAAGCGUAGUAAUUGAGUUAAUGACCAACCGUUUCCAUUAUGCAUUUGAUUCCAUUUUUACUACUGUGUUUGCAAUUCCGUUUUUACAUUUCUGUUGCACCCGUGUUUUAAUUUUGUUUAUCCGCAUUCACAAACUUUUCAACAAUCCCCCCCACUUCGUAUGAGACCUGAUUCUUGAACCACAUUUGGUCCUUGGGAGACGACCUAGGAGUCAUUUCCUAGCUAUACUACAUUCUUUUAUGCACAUCAAAUUUGUAUGGGCUGCGACAACCCAUCAAAUUUUGGCGCCGUUGCCAGGGACGAACGGUGCGGUUUUAGGUCUUUUGUUGUGUUAGUGUGUGUUGUGUUUUGUCUUGUGUUGUGAGUGUGAUGUUCUGUUUGUGUGUCGUCAUGUGUUGUUGCAUUUAGGUAGCUUUCGUUGCAUAUUUUCAUUGCAUUCUUCUUUUCCCCCUCUUCCUUCUACAUGUCUACCUAUUCUGGUUAUGUGGAUAUUGUUUCUUCUGCCUGUGCCUAUGACUAUGAUUCUCCUCCUGCAUCGAACUCUGAUAUUGCUUCUCAUGCAUAUUCUGCUGAUUUUUAUGUCGAGAACAAUAUGACUCAUCCUUCCAUUCUUGAGAGUGCUCUUUAGGAGCCGGUUCCACUUGAUGAGGUUGAUG
rnacentral:lncRNA from 1 species